CAGUCGCCGCGGGAAUACGGAGGGUGCAAGCGUUAAUCGGAAUUACUGGGCGUAAAGCGUGCGUAGGCGGUUCGUUAAGUCUGUUGUGAAAGCCCCGGGCUCAACCUGGGACCUGCAUUUGUGACUGUAUAGCUAGAGUACGGUAGAGGGGGAUGGAAUUCCGCGUGUAGCAGUGAAAUGCGUAGAUAUGCGGAGGAACACCGAUGGCGAAGGCAAUCCCCUGGACCUGUACUGACGCUCAUGCACGAAAGCGUGGGGAGCAAACAGGAUUAGAUACCCCAGUAGUCCCUGUCUCUUAUCC
rnacentral:rRNA from 1 species